GACAGAGGGUGCAAACGUUGUUCGGAAUUACUGGGCGUAAAGCGCACGUAGGCGGAUUGCUAAGUCAGGGGUGAAAUCCUGGAGCUCAACUCCAGAACUGCCUUUGAUACUGGCGAUCUUGAGUCCGGGAGAGGUGAGUGGAACUGCGAGUGUAGAGGUGAAAUUCGUAGAUAUUCGCAAGAACACCAGUGGCGAAGGCGGCUCACUGGCCCGGUACUGACGCUGAGGUGCGAAAGCGUGGGGAGCAAACAGG
rnacentral:rRNA from 1 species